rnacentral:rRNA from 1 species
UAGGGAAUCUUCGGCAAUGGACGAAAGUCUGACCGAGCAACGCCGCGUGAGUGAAGAAGGUUUUCGGAUCGUAAAACUCUGUUGUUAGAGAAGAACAAGGACGUUAGUAACUGAACGUCCCCUGACGGUAUCUAACCAGAAAGCCACGGCUAACUACGUGCCAGCAGCCGCGGUAAUACGUAGGUGGCAAGCGUUGUCCGGAUUUAUUGGGCGUAAAGCGAGCGCAGGCGGUUUCUUAAGUCUGAUGUGAAAGCCCCCGGCUCAACCGGGGAGGGUCAUUGGGAACUGGGAGACUUGAGCGCAGAAGAGGAGAGUGGAAUUCCAUGUGUAGCGGUGAAAUGCGUAGAUAUAUGGAGGAACACCAGUGGCGAAGGCGGCUCUCUGGUCUGUAACUGACGCUGAGGCUCGAAAGCGUGGGGAGCAAACAGG